rnacentral:rRNA from 1 species
GCUUGUCUCAAAGAUUAAGCCAUGCAUGUCUAAGUAUAAGCAAUAUACAGUGAAACUGCGAAUGGCUCAUUAUAUCAGUUAUAGUUUAUUUGAUAGUCCCUACUAUUUGGAUAACCGUAGUAAUUCUAGAGCUAAUACAUGCGUAAAGCGGAGACUCACGAAUCCGCGUAUUUAUUAGAUGGAAACCAAUGCGGGGCAACCCGGUAUAUGGUGAUUCAUAAUAACUUUCGGAUCGAUCUUCGGAUCGAUGCAUCAUUCAAGUUUCUGCCCUAUCAGCUUUGGAUGGUAGGGUAUUGGCCUACCAUGGCUUUAACGGGUAACGGAGAAUUAGGGUUCGAUUCCGGAGAGGGAGCCUGAGAAAUGGCUACCACAUCCAAGGAAGGCAGCAGG